AUCCGGCUGACGAGUUCCAAAAUAGGACGAAAUGCGCGUCCUGGAU
rnacentral:hammerhead_ribozyme from 1 species